rnacentral:rRNA from 1 species
UACGGAGGGUGCAAACGUUGCUCGGAAUCAUUGGGCGUAAAGCGCGCGUAGGCGGCGAUGCAAGUUGGAUGUGAAAGCCCUGGGCUCAACCUAGGAUGUGCAUACAAAACUGCGUCGCUUGAAUCUCGGAGGGGGUCAGGGAAUUCCCGGUGUAGAGGUGAAAUUCGUAGAUAUCUGGAGGAACACCGGUGGCGAAGGCGGCAUCCUGGACCGGUAUGACGCUGAUGCGCGAAAGCCAGGGGAGCAAACGGG